AUUUUAUGUCUCUCUCUCUCUCUCUCUCUCUCUAUAUAUAUAUAUAUAUAUAUAUAUAUAUAUAGAGAGAGAGAGAGAGAGAGAGAGAGAGAGAGAGAGAAUAAUUU
rnacentral:miRNA from 1 species